AAGGUGUUUUAUAGAUGUGAUGAAAGCCUAAGGGAGAUACUCUGGGUAGCUUUACAUGGAUGCUGUAACGGAUUGAGGCUUUUAGUGCCGGCACAUAGUAGGUGCCCAACAAAUCUUCGUUGAGUGAAUAAAUGAAAUGCCCCACCUGACCACCUCACUCUCGUCCUCAGCACAUGACCUCGCCUCCAAUUUCGCAGAAAAGAUGAAAACCAGCAGAGAAGGCUUUUAGAUGACAUCACAGAUCAAGCAGAGCCUGCUGAACAGAACAUAGUGCAACUCCACACAAGCCCAGGAUGGUCACCCAGGACAGAAGCUUUCUUCAGUCCCAUCACAAAGCAAAUAGCAAGAAUUGGUUUUGAGAGUCCCUCACUGGGAAGGGAAGAAAGCACUGUGGGCUGUAACUGUAGGCUGAACCUUGAACUUCUUCCUGGGGAGCUGGGCGCCAAGACAAGAGACUGAGGAGUCAUCCUGGGGGUCAGUCCUAACAAGAGCCAAUGGAUGAGAUGAGAUACUGUACGUAUUCGACUGACCACAAAAUAAAACAGGUCAAGAGGCUGGAAGGCAAAUUGUUUCUAGUGAACUGAUCAUGGAAAAUGGUGGAAGCUGGGUUUUAAUUACUCAGGCAAAGUUUUCCUGGUGUCACCCCAUCUGGUCUUUUAAGGAGCUAAAGGAGGUGUGUGUUAAUGUGGAUGAGGGCAGAUCUUUACACUGAAAAUUUAUUAAAAUUGGCCCAUUGUCUCAGACUGAGAAGAUUUGGGGGCUGAAAUCUAUUAUCUAUCCCUCCUAGUUUCCUGUCAUCCGCUGAUUUAAUAAACAUACCAUCACUGUCCUCAUCUAAGUCAUGCAAAUUUUUAGCAGAGCAGGCCAAGGACAAAUCGUUCUAUGGCAUGAUAUAAAA